AUAGUUAUUUUAAUAAAAAUGUGUUUUUUUGUUAACAUGUAGUGGUUUAUUAUUGGUGUUUUUAAAUGAAUUAAUAAAUAAAUGUUUUCAAAUGUCUAUGCCUUGAUUUUAAAUAUGAUAAAUAUCACUAGACAUAACCCGCAUAAACAAAAGCUAUUGGGGUCCUCAAUAGAUUUAUAAUGACGUGAGACAAAGCAUGUGAGAAGGGCUGGACUAGAAUAUACCACAGCCUCCACCACACUGCAGACAAUAUUGCCCUCCAGUGCCUGUGACAGAGCUUCCUUUGCUUAACCAGUUAAAAAAAGGACUGAGCUCAUCAUGUAACCAUGGAAAAUCCAAUGACAUCUGUGCCUGAAACACUGAAUGAUGGAGCAGGGACAGGUGGAAGGCUGAUCCAUACUCCUAUCAUUCAGGGUUUGACUAAAGAAGAGGAACUACUGGGAGUGAUGAGUAGUAAAGGAUUUGUUGCAGAGACUGGAACUCAACCAGCAAAGGGAGCUGGUUAAACAGUCUACGUGAGGAUGCUGCUUUUUUAUCUGAUUCGUGAGUCUGAUGUCAUCAGGGCAGGCUGGCAGCAAGGAAAAUAGACAUGAAAUGAGGGAGCAAGGACAAGCCGGAUCCAAGAAUGGGCUGGAGGCUGCUUCAGUCUCUCACCAGGUCCAGGACUCCAACUCGAUGACACUUGGUAGUGCCCUGCAGGAGAAGCUGGCACCCUUCAUGAUUAAGCUAAACACACACUUGGCCAGGAGUCAGAGGCUCUGAAGGAGGACAUUUGCAGGACCUGAGCUGCUUUCAAUCAACUGCUGACCCACCCCAACAAGAUGAGCCAAGAGAUAAGCGACAUGUUGGAGCAGCCAUGGAAUGGCAUGUCCUUCCCUGAUCAUCCAAACAUAAAACAUAAGACCAAGGCUUCCCUUCACCUCCCAGAUGGCGUGUAAAAUCUCUGUGACUCACGCUAACCUGCAAUUAUGCAGAGGGGGAAACUGUGGGAAACAUAGUA
rnacentral:lncRNA from 1 species